AGAGGACAGAGUCACUGUGAGGACAACACUGCGGGGAGGAAGGGGACAGGCAGAGGACGCGCGUGCGUGCGUGCGUCAGGCCGGAGCCCAGAGCUUCGACGGAGGGUUCGCUCAGUACGCGACGCUCCUGAGCUGCAGCCACGCUCAUUUUGGCGCUACCGUGAAACCUCCCGGCUGUUUACGGAGCCACUCUCUCCCGAACUUCACCAGGAGUUGAUCCUCUGCAGCAAAAUGGGGCUCUCACAAAACCUUGACAGAUGUGUCAGAACAGCGACGGCAUGGAUACAACUUCUGUGGCCCAGAGCGGGAACAAUGUAGGAUGAGAGGGGAGAAAGAAGACAUACAAACCGGGGGAGAGGGAAAAAAAAAGUUUGCGGUCGCAGAGUUGUCAAUAGAACAAUAUUCAGCCGAGUUCUUGAG